rnacentral:rRNA from 1 species
GAUGAACGCCGGCGGUGUGCCUAAUACAUGCAAGUCGAACGCGUUGGCCCAACUGAUUGAACGUGCUUGCACGGACUUGACGUUGGUUUACCAACGAGUGGCGGACGGGUGAGUAACACGUAGGUAACCUGCCCCAAAGCGGGGGAUAACAUUUGGAAACAGAUGCUAAUACCGCAUAACAAUUUGAACCGCAUGAUUCAAAUUUAAAAGAUGGCUUCGGCUAUCACUUUGGGAUGGACCUGCGGCGCAUUAGCUUGUUGGUAGGGUAACGGCCUACCAAGGCUGUGAUGCGUAGCCGAGUUGAGAGACUGAUCGGCCACGAUGGAACUGAGACACGGUCCAUACUCCUACGGGAGGCAGCAGUAGGGAAUCUUCCACAAUGGGCGCAAGCCUGAUGGAGCAACACCGCGUGAGUGA